rnacentral:rRNA from 1 species
GUCAGGCGGGAUUACCCGCUGAAUU